rnacentral:rRNA from 1 species
GAUGAACGCUGGCGGCGUGCCUAAUACAUGCAAGUCGAGCGAACAGACGAGGAGCUUGCUCCUCUGACGUUAGCGGCGGACGGGUGAGUAACACGUGCAUAACCUACUUCUAAUACUGGGAUAAUUUCGGGAAACCGGAGCUAAUACCGGAUAAUAUAUUCAACCGCAUGGUUCAAUAGUGAAAGACGGCUUUGCUGUCACUUAUAGAUGGUUCCGCGCCGCAUUAGCUAGUUGGUAAGGUAACGGCUUACCAAGGCGACGAUGCGUAGCCGACCUGAGAGGAUGAUCGGCCACACUGGAACUGAGACACGGUCCAGACUCCUACGGGAGGCAGCAGUAGGGAAUCUUGCGCAAUGGGCGAAAGCCUGACGGAGCAACGCCGCGUGAGUGAUGAAGGUCUUCGGAUCGUAAAGCUCUGUUAUUAGGGAAGAACAAAUGUGUAUGUAACUAUGCACGUCUUGACGGUACCUAAACAGAAAGCCACGGCUAACUUCGUG